rnacentral:rRNA from 1 species
AGUGAACGCUGGCGGUAGGCCUAACACAUGCAAGUCGAACGGCAGCACAGGAGAGCUUGCUCUCUGGGUGGCGAGUGGCGGACGGGUGAGGAAUACAUCGGAAUCUGCCCAGUCGUGGGGGAUAACGUAGGGAAACUUACGCUAAUACCGCAUACGACCUUCGGGUGAAAGAGGGGGAUCGCAAGACCUCUCGCGAUUGGAUGAGCCGAUGUCGGAUUAGCUAGUUGGCGGGGUAAUGGCCCACCAAGGCGACGAUCCGUAGCGGGUCUGAGAGGAUGAUCAGCCACACUGGAACUGAGACACGGUCCAGACUCCUACGGGAGGCAGCAGUGGGGAAUAUUGGACAAUGGGCGCAAGCCUGAUCCAGCCAUACCGCGUGGGUGAAGAAGGCCUUCGGGUUGUAAAGCCCUUUUGUUGGGAAAGAAAUCUUUCAGGCUAAUACCCUGGGAGGAUGACGGUACCCAAAGAAUAAGCACCGGCUAACUUCGUG